AUGGAUUUCUUGAGUUUUUGUAUCGUCCUGCUAAACCUUUUCUUUGUGUUGUUGUUCGCAAUUAUUCAAGCGUUGCAAAGCAAAGCCAAUCCCAAAAGGCAUCUUCUCCCACCUGGACCAAAGCCAUUUUCCUUCAUUGGCAAUCUUCUAGAGCUUGGCAACAAACCCCAUCUCUCUCUCACCAAGCUUUCUCAAAUCUAUGGCCCCAUUAUAACUCUGCAAUUCGGCCAAUAUUCAUAUUGGGGAUUCUCCAUCCCCACCUUUAAUGGGGAAUGGGUUCCCCGUCCAGCCCCACCUUUUGGGAUUAGCCUUGCUUUGCAGAGCUUGAAUAAUUGA
rnacentral:lncRNA from 1 species